CAAGCCAACAUCAGCGAGAUCUUCAAGUCUCGUGACCCAAAAUCUUUCUCUCUCUCUCCGAAAAAAUCCCCAAUCCCUCCUCCAUCUCCAAUCGGAGCUCCCCCUCCAUCUCCAAUCCGCCAUCUCCAACGCCGACGAUCUCCCAAAUCACCCAUCUCCAACCGGAGCUCCCCAGAUCCACCUCACCACCACGAACCCCACGACUACAAAAUUUGAGACCGCCUCCUCUGCCACGACUACGACGUCUGAGACCGCCGACUUCCCCAACUCAUCCGAUGCCGACGACGAUUAAGUCCAACUCCGCCGACCGUGACUGAUUAUCCCUAACUCCCUCGAGCUCGAUCUCGAGAUCCCCUAACUCAGGUCAAUUACAAUUUUUGUGAGAAAUGGAAAACUUGGGCACUGAAGCUAAUGAAGUAAACUUGGACGACGAUGAUUUGAUAUAUACUCCUCAAGUAUCAGAUGAGUUGAGGCCAAAAAAGAGGCAUGAAUUUGACACAAUAGAUGAUGUUGUGACAUUCUACAAUGCUUAUGCUAAAGCAGCUGGGUUUAGUGUAAGGUCUUGGACUACUCAGAAAGAGCCGGGAAGUUGUGAAAUAAGAAGGAAGAAGUAUGUUUGUUUUAAACAAGGAAAAUCUUUAAAAAUCGCGGAUGUUGGAAAGAAAAGACGUCGAGGAAGCUUAGCUGAGGAUUGUACUGCUAAAAUUGCAGUUUUAAAAUCAAACUCCGAAAAAUACAUUAUUACUGUUUUUAAUGAGGAGCACAGUCACCCGCUAUCAACACCAUCAGAGGUUCAUCUUUUGAGGUCCCAUCGUAACGUUUCAGCUGCAACAAAGUCUUUAAUUAAACAACUCUCCAUGGUGAAUAUACCUCAGCAUCAACAAUUUAGUUUUCUUGGAGUACAAUCUGGAGGUAUAGAAAAUAUUGGGUGCACUCAAAGAGAUUUGUAUAAUCAUGAAAGGGAUAUACGUGCUGAUAUGAAGGGGCACGAUAGAGAAAUGUUUUAUGAGUAUUUAAAAUUAGAACAAGGAAAGAAUCCCUCAUUGACUUUUCAAAUUGAGGCUGAUGAGGAACAAAAGAUUACUCGUUGUUUUUGGUCCGAUGCAAGAUCAAGGCGGGCUUACAAUUUUUUCGGUGAUGUUGUAAUCUACUUAUAACACUAAUCACUAUGGCCUUAUAUUUGCACCAAUAAUGGGGGUUAACAAUCAUGGUCAAACAAUUGUUUUUGCUUGUGGAUUUUUGAAUCAUGAGAGCGUUGAUGAUUUUGUAUGGUUAUUUAAUCAAUUUUUAGAAAGUAUACCUGGUGGUGCCCCGAAGAUGAUUAUUACCGAUCAAGACCCAGCUAUGACUAAGGCAUUCCCUCUUGUUCUUCCAAAUACUUUUCACAGGUAUUGUAGUUGGCAUAUAUUAAUGAAGUUUUCUGAGAAAAUUGAUGCAGUGAAGUAUAGUAUUUAUAAAAGUGAGUUCUCGGCUUGCAUUUGGAAAUCAGAGACUCCUGAAGAAUUUGAUUUACAAUGGGAAAGUCUGAUUAAGAAAAGUGGGUUAGAAGAAAAUAAGUGGUUGCAAGACCAAUAUGAACUUCGGUCAAGAUGAAUUCCUGCAUAUGUUAAUCACAUUUUCUCAGCAGACAUGUCAAGUAGUCAACGAGCAGAAAGUGGACAUGCAGUCUUCAAGAAAUUUGUUUCGAAGAAUAAUUCAUUGGUUGAUUUUAUGAUACAGUUUGGCAGGGGAUUAAUGCGCCAACGACAUGAGGAGUUGAUGGUCGAUCACAAAGAUGUAAUUGAGAAACCUAAACUUAGUGGUUGCAAGACCAAUAUGAACUUCGGUCAAGAUGAAUUCCUGCAUAUGUUAAUCACAUUUUCUCAGCAGACAUGUCAAGUAGUCAACGAGCAGAAAGUGGACAUGCAGUCUUCAAGAAAUUUGUUUCGAAGAAUAAUUCAUUGGUUGAUUUUAUGAUACAGUUUGGCAGGGGAUUAGUGCGCCAACGACAUGAGGAGUUGAUGGCCGAUC